rnacentral:rRNA from 1 species
UACAGAGGGUGCAAGCGUUGUUCGGAAUUAUUGGGCGUAAAGGGCGCGUAGGCGGUGCCACAAGUCACCUGUGAAAUCUCCGGGCUUAACUCGGAGCCUGCAGGCGAAACUGUGGUGCUGGAGUGUGGGAGAGGUGCGUGGAAUUCCGGGUGUAGCGGUGAAAUGCGUAGAUAUCCGGAGGAACACCGGUGGCGAAGGCGGCUUCCUGGACCGACACUGACGCUGAGGCGCGAAAGCUAGGGGAGCAAACGGG